UACAGAGGUCUCAAGCGUUGUUCGGAUUCAUUGGGCGUAAAGGGUGCGUAGGCGGCGCGGUAAGUCGGGUGUGAAAUCUUGGAGCUUAACUCCGAAACUGCAUUCGAUACUGCCGUGCUUGAGGACUGGAGAGGAGACUGGAAUUUACGGUGUAGCGGUGAAAUGCGUAGAUAUCGGAAAGAACACCAACGGCGAAAGCGGCUCUCUGGGACGGUACUGACGCUGAGACGCGAAAGCGUGGGGAGCAAACAGG
rnacentral:rRNA from 1 species